rnacentral:rRNA from 1 species
CGCGUAGGCGGUCUCUUAAGUCAGAUGUGAAAGCCCGGGGCUCAACCCCGGAAGUGCAUUUGAAACUAAGGGACUUGAGUAUGGGAGAGGGAAGUGGAAUUCCUGGUGUAGAGGUGAAAUUCGUAGAUAUCAGGAGGAACACCGGUGGCGAAGGCGACUUCCUGGACCAAUACUGACGCUAAGGCGCGAAGGCGUGGGGAGCAAGCA